AUUGAACGCUGGCGGCAUGCCUAACACAUGCAAGCCGAACGGCAGCAUGAAAUGGGGUAACCCAUUUUGAUGGCGAGUGGCGGACGGGUGAGUAAUAUGUAGGAAUCUACCUAGAGGUGCGGGAUAACUUAGGGAAACUUAAGCUAAUACCACAUAAGCCCUACGGGGGAAAGCAGGGGACCGCAAGGCCUUGCGCCUUAUGAUGAGCCUACAUCGGAUUAGCUUGUUGGUGGGGUAAAGGCCUACCAAGGCGACGAUCCGUAGCUGGUCUGAGAGGAUGAUCAGCCACACUGGGACUGAGACACGGCCCAGACUCCUACGGGAGGCAGCAGUGGGGAAUAUUGGACAAUGGGCGCAAGCCUGAUCCAGCAAUGCCGCGUGUGUGAAGAAGGCCUUAGGGUUGUAAAGCACUUUCAGUGGGGAGGAAGUUGAGUUUGCUAAUACCAGAUUCAAUUGACGUUACCCACAGAAGAAGCACCGGCUAACUCUGUGCCAGCCGCCGCCGUAA
rnacentral:rRNA from 1 species